GUGGGGAAUAUUGGGCAAUGGGCGAAAGCCUGACCCAGCAACGCCGCGUGAGGGAAGAAGGUUUUCGGAUUGUAAACCUCUGUCCUUGGGGACGAAGAAAGUGACGGUACCCAGGGAGGAAGCCCCGGCUAACUACGUGCCAGCAGCCGCGGUAAUACGUAGGGGGCGAGCGUUGUUCGGAAUGACUGGGCGUAAAGGGCGCGUAGGCGGCCGAUUAAGUCUGGAGUGAAAGUCCUGUUUUUAAGGCGGGAAUUGCUUUGGAGGCUGGUUGGCUUGAGUGCGGAAGAGGUAAGGGGAAUUCCCAGUGUAGCGGUGAAAUGCGUAGAGAUUGGGAGGAACACCAGUGGCGAAGGCGACUUACUGGGCCGUAACUGACGCUGAAGCGCGAAAGCGUGGGGAGCGAACAGGAUUAGAAACCCUGGUAGUCC
rnacentral:rRNA from 1 species